GUCUAUGGCCAUACCACCAUGAAUGCACCUGAUCUCAUCUUAUCUUGAAAGCUAAGCAGGCUUGGACCUGGUUAGUACUUGGAUCGAGAAAUUAAAUAAUUUACUGACAUAAUUU
rfam:Ovis aries breed Texel chromosome 3, whole genome shotgun sequence.